AGAUGUGAGGGUGAUCUGGCUGUGACAACUGUCAGUUACCCCACUGAUGGCCAGGAUUGAUUCGGCUGACCUGGCUGGCUAGGCGGGCGUCUUCUUCCUCUGUCACGCUCCAUGUGCGUCCCUCCCAAAGCUGCGCGCUUGGCUGAGGAGGCUGAUCCCCAAAUACAGAGGCGGACCAGUCUCGGUGGAGGGAUACCAGUAGCUGCGCUCCCGUUAGAACUUCCAACUAGCUCUCAAAGAUAAAAUUGUCCAAAGAGAUAAAAAUGGCAACCCCAGCCAUAUGCUAGUUACAAGAAACAUGAUUAAAAUGUACUGU
rnacentral:snRNA from 1 species